GGCCCAGAGCUCGGGGAGGGCAACGCCAGCGCUCAGCUCCCCCCCCCCGCCUCGGAUCCCCGUUCCAGGGGCAUCCUCUGCCCAGCGCAGCGAGGGAGAGCGGGCUGGCAUCGCCCGGGCUGUGGUUUUGGCAGCUGCUGGCACCGGGUUCCCCCCGCGGGCAGGUGCUGCUCCCGCGACCGCGAGGAGGAGGAGGAGGAGGAGAGGGGGGAGCUCAGCUCUCACAUCAAGGAGCUCCCAACUGAAGUGCCGCCCGCGUGCUCGGCUUGUGGAGCCAGGAGGGAUUUAACCCCCGGGUUUGACAAUCCCACGUGGAGGCAGGAGAGGGAGGAACGCGGGCAGAGAGUCUGACCCCCUGUGCAAACCCCCAGCUGGGAGAAGAAGUUCGAUUUGCUGGGGCCGGGGGUAGCAAAGAGCUCGGACAGGAACCUGCACUAAACCUUUGACACACAAGACAUUUCCCUUUGGGGCCGAGGCAAACAAAGGAAGGAAGUGUCUGGGACUUUUAAAGCGACCCAGUGGAGACAGAGUUCUCUGUGCCCGAGGCUGCCAGGGCUGCCCUGCUCACCCCCUGGGCACCACCAGGCUCUGGGAAGUCUCCUGGGCUCAGGUGCUGGGGCAGCCCGGACCAUUCCUGGCAGAUCCCACCAUUCCUCAGCUUUUCUUCGGUGUGAAAGAGCCUUUGCCCCUUCCCAGCGCUCGGAUCCCCCCCGGAAAACGAGCAGCUGGAGCUGUUCUUGCCCUGCAAAAGGGGAGAAAACCCCCGUGGGAUGGAGGGAUUGAAAAAUAACACCACAUCAUUAAAAAAAAGGCUCUUCAUUAGCCCUGUUCUCUGUCCCUACACCACUUGUAUGGGGGGGCACGGGGAAUCCUCGUGUUUCCAGCACUGGGAAUGGCACCAGCAAGGAGUUUUCCGUGGGAUGCCGCCUCUGACAGCACAUCCUGCACCACCUCAGCUGCUGAGGGACCUCAGCCUUUCCCAAAGUAACAUCCCCGUUUCCUCAUCCCUGUAAAAAAAUAAUAAAAACUAAAAGAGAUCGCUG